rnacentral:lncRNA from 1 species
UUGGAGUUCUAAAACAACAGGCUUAGACCCCAAUCCAGGAAAUUAAGAAGUGGACUAUUAGCAAAAUUCUUCAUAGAGAAGAAGGUGAGAUCAUUUCACUUUUUUCAUCCUAGCUUCUUAGUACUAUCUUAUUAACAUUGGUUGAUAAUUCUAAUUUACUUUCGGCAAUGAUAUAUGAAAUUCAUUCCCCCUGGAAAAAUGGAAGCCUUAAGUGACAUUUUCCGAAAUGGAACUUGUUGAGAUUCUGUUGCAUCUAAACCAUGGAUGAAAAUUAUGCAAUAAAUGUCACAGGCCUUGCUUACUUUUUCUGUCUUAACUCUCAAGGUCUAAGACAUCAUGGUGAUAUAUUUCAGUAGUUCUAAUGUUGAUACUCAUAUAGUGGGCCUAGGAACUUAGGGAGAUGUUAGUUUUGACUUUGCAUCAGUUAAUUAAUAGCCCACCAAGAAGAAAUGUGGUAUAUUUCAUGUUACCUGCUCCUGCUUAUGUCUUCAAUCUCUGAGUUAUCAUAUGUACGUGUGGACAGAAGCGCUUUCAGAUGCUGUGACUUGUGUGGGUUUGUGCUUUUGCUGUCUUCGGAUUUCUGAGACCUGCUUGCUAAUCGGGAAGCCUGAACUUUUCCUUUCAAUAUGACAUAUACUCCACAAGAUUCUGGUGCAAGUUUGAGCAAGCUGG